AUCACCUCCUCUCCCCUGUCAAUACGUCACGAGAGUCGGAUGGUAGCGGUGGAUGGGGGAGCGCUGCGUUUCUAGAACGCGGCGCGCGUUCUGAAAACAAAUUUUCUCUGUGGCUGCAACGCUAGAGCGGCAACGCGUGGAGCAUUUGCUUGGUGGCUUUGGUGGGGCAUGCUGCACCGUAAACGCGAUUGCUUUUCUUCGAUUGUGCGUGGUUCGUCGUACACGGAAGCGCAACGAUGCCUGGCUGUUGUUGCGCACCAAACUGCAAGUCCAAUUAUGACGGAGGACAAAGUGUCCGAGUGCACAAGUUCCCAUCUGACCGAGCCACUCGGGAAGCAUGGACGAGAGCAGUUCCUCGGAAGGACUUCUCGCCAACGAAGUACACAGUGCUCUGUGAAAAGCAUUUCUUGCCAUCGGAUUACUUGAAGACGACAUCUUACACGGACGUCAAGACAGGAAAAGUGGUCGAAGUUGCCAUGAAAAACAUCCGUCUGAAGAAAACUGCAGUGCCGAGCUUGUUUCCCAAUUGCCCUGCCUAUUUAUCGCGUCCGCAAGUGUGCGUUCGAGAAGCGCCGGCUGCCAAAAGAGCGCGCUUGGAAGCCACAUAUUUGCAAAAAGAAAUAAUGCUUUCUCAGCAAACCCAAGCAGAAGAGGACGCCAAAAAUCUGGUUGGUAGCUUUGCGGACUUGCUGAAGGCCUUGCCAAGCUUUCAGUGUUCGGACUUCUGGACAGUUUUGAACAAGGGCUCCAAGGUUUUCUUUUUGGACUUGUCACUUCAAUCUGCUCCUGCAGUUCGUACUUCGGUGAUCGUGUCCACAGACCUGCGCGUCGAAGUAUUUUUUGGUGAAACGGGUGUGAGGAAGUGUGGUGAUGUUUUAGUUCCUGAAAAGCUGUGCGACUUGAGAGAUUUGAAAAGUGUGUUACAUAUGAUCGAACAGACACGUAAGGAUAGCGCUGAGCGUUCUGAAAAGGCCCGUCAUCUACUGACAUUGGUUUCGACAUUGCUAGAGGAAGUAAGUGGAAAACAUUUCGCAUGCGAGUUGCAAGAAUGGCAUAUGGAAGUGCUUAAAUUCUUGAAGAGUCAAGUUCAUCUUGUUUUGAAUGAUGCUGGCCGAUAUCCCCCCGAUUUAUUGGUUUUUGCUUGCCUUUUGUUCACAAUUUCACCUCAUGCAUAUAGAUUCCUGAGAAGUUCGAUGAAGCUUAAGAUGCCGCAUCCUGAUAAGGUCAGAAGACUGUGUUCAUCGUACGAUGUACGCCCUGAAACGGAGCAGCAAGAAUGUAGCUUUCUUUCCUAUGCAAAGCGUAUUGUAAGCACAUAUAAAGAGCAUGAAAAGACUAACGUCUUCAAUCACCCUCAAUCAUUUUUUGAUUACAAGGCUGGGUUGGUUACUGGUGCUGCGGUAAAUUCAUCGACUGCAGCAAAAACUGCCCACGUAUUUAUGAUACAGAGCCUGCUUUCUUCAAACAAGGAUGUUGUACACAUCCUUCCUGUGGCACAAAUCGAUGCUAAGGCGCUGCACGACUUCCUUCGGAAGAUUGUUCUUGAUCUAGAGGCAUCUGGUUUUAGAAUAAUCGCAGUGAUCUCGGACAAUAACUCCAUCAACAGAAAAGCCAUGUCCUACUUCGCUAAGCCGGCAAGUGUCAGCAUUGUUUACCAGCAUCCUGCUGACCCAUCACGACCCCUGUUUCUUGUGGUGGACCCAGUUCAAAUACUAAAGUGUAUAAGAAAUAACUGCCUGAAUCAAAGAAACAUUGGCAAAUGCAUGUACUUUCCUGAACCGAAGAGUGAUGAGGCUGAGCCAAAGAUACUUACAGCAUCUUUCAAGGUAUUAUGCCAGCUGCACGAAGCUGAAAAGCAUGAGCUCCUGAAGCUAGCACCAACGCUCACUUUGAAGGCACUGAACCCCUCAAACAUGGAACGGCAGAACGUUAAACUGGCCUUGAAGAUUUUUAACUCAUCUACUGUUGCUGCUCUCAGUGUUGCAACGUUCCAGCAUGCAAAGGAAACCUCUCAAUAUGUCGACACCAUUUUGACUUGGUGGAACAUUGUUAACGUCAAGACGCCAAGAAAAGGACAGCGGUUGCGAGAUCAGUUACAAGGUCCAAUAGUUUCAUCGUCAUGUCCUCAACUAGAAUUCUUAGAGAGAAUAGUUCAAUAGAUUGAUCACUGGAGAAGCCUCGAACAUGACAAUGGCCGCUUGACACGUGAAACGCACAUAGCUUUCAGCCACACUACCCAUGCCUUGCACGAACUUGCCAUAUACUGUCUCAAAGAGCUUCAUUUCGAGUAUGUUCUUUUGGGCAAAUUUCAGACUCAUAGCUUAGAGGAUCGCUUUGGAAAGUACCGGCAAUUGUCUGGUGCCAAUUACCACGUGUCUAUAAGGCAGAUAUAUGAAUCUGAAAACAAAUUGCGUUUGCAGAAGGUUCUGGACCUGCUAGAUUUGGACAUUCUACUACCACCGAGCGCGAACACGUUGGAGACAAGUGUACAUUCAGGAAACGGCCAGUUUCAAGUCACUGUGACCGACUCCGACAUUGAGAAAAAAACGUCAAGGCUACCGGUACUAACCUAUGUUGCCGGCUCUUGUGCCCAUGCAGCUCUAAAAAAGCUGACAUGCGCAUCUUGCAGUGAAAGCCUUGUGAUGCAAGACGUCGAUCUAGAUGACCCUGAGAAUGCAUUAAUCACGAAGAUGACAAGGGGUGGCCUGAAGUUUCCACGAGCAGUUGUAGUUAAUGCUGUACUCUUUACUGAAAUUAUAUUGUACAAGCUCAGGACACCAGAAUAUGCCGUACGAUUUUUCAGCCUUCCUAGGCAGAAAGAUACUCUUGUCGGCCUUGUGUUCGCUACCCUUCAUGACUUUGAGGAUGUCGAUGUGUGCGAUUUCGGUCAUCCUGCACAGGAGGUAAUGGGGCAUGUUGUAAGUGCUGCAGCGAAUACACUGCUGAACAACUUGUGCCGCACAGAAAACGACAAAUUACGCAACGCCAAGAACGACCGAAAAUUGCAGACCUUAAAGGCCUGAGAUGUUUCUCAUUAUUUAUUUUUUAUUCAUGAAGCUCUGUUUUCUUGAACAUCUACGUAUGUUUGUGUUGACAGAACCCUUGUAAAAAGAAACCUGUGGCGUAGCUAGGACUUAUUUGCCUACAUUAUCAAAAUUUAAACCCUGCAUUUUGGCCAAGUCAAAUGUUAUCUGAGUGCAUUGUGCUACCUGUUUAUGAUUCGAACUCUCCAUGCUACCGCAAUCCAUUAAUUGCAUUGUGCUACCUGUUUAUGAUUCGAACUCUCGAUGCUACCGCAAUCCAUUAAUUGCAUGUUUUCCUUUAGGACUGAGAGUAGGCCUCUCGUUUUUUACUUACUUUUCACCAUUAUCUCAGUAUUUUAUGAAGACCAAUAAGGCCUGCAAACAAGACGGGUGGAAAUAACAUAACCACAAGAAAUGGUACAACAAAGACGCAAGCUUAUUCUAUUUGAGAAUUAGUUGUGCGUGACCCUAUAAUAAUAAAAUUUUAACAAUAAAAUGAACCUCGAUAUUCGUGUGUCCAGCGAGGACUGUUUUACGCAAUGCAAGAGUGAGAAUGAUAAUUGUAUAUGGAAGAUUUAAAAUGUUUGUUUCAGAAUGCAGUUCUUAUCAUUUGUGAAUAAAGUAUAUUCUGUGUCUUCAAUAUGCAGUUUUCCUCUUUCUUUCUUUCCGUGUAAGGUUAAAGUGACUAAGCAGCAUGCAGUUUGCUUGUCUUAGUCCCGAACAAACAUCCCAAGCACAAUAAGGCCGGUCGUGUUCCGAUAGACGCAAAAAAAAAAAAAAAAAAUGUCGCCAGUCAAGUAGUCUAAGGAAGGUAUGAAAUAAUGUUGCUUUCUAUGGUGGUGUUGACUGCAGUGAACCAGCGGCUCCCCCUUAUUUUUUGCGUCAGCUAUACGUGUCUUGCUUUGGAAACGAAGCAUCUGGAUUUAUAGGUUGCUGUCACUUUAAGGGCAGCACUAAUUUUCUCAUGCCAUAGUAUCCGCGACGCGCAAAGAGACACACUGCAAGCACAACGAACCUAGGCGCGUAGACGCCGACGGCGUCGACUGUCCGGCCCAUCCGACUAGCGUGACGUCACACCGGCGUGCGGAGGCCUUAC